rnacentral:rRNA from 1 species
UACAGAGGUCUCAAGCGUUGUUCGGAUUCAUUGGGCGUAAAGGGUGUGUAGGUGGCGCGCUAAGUCGGGUGUGAAAUUUCGGAGCUUAACUCCGAAACUGCAUUCGAUACUGGCGUGCUUGAGGACUGGAGAGGAGACUGGAAUUUACGGUGUAGCGGUGAAAUGCGUAGAUAUCGUAAGGAAGACCAGUGGCGAAGGCGGGUCUCUGGACAGUUCCUGACGCUGAGGCACGAAGGUCAGGGGAGCAAACGGG